GUCACCCUGGAAGCUGCUGUAGAUUAGGUACCACUUAAAAGUGUUACUGAUACAUGAGAGCUGGUUUUCAUAUCAAGAUCAGGACUAGUCAGCAGGCCAGAAUGGAUAUGAGAGAAGACCUAAAUAAAAUAUCAGUAAGAGCUGCAGAGAAAAUUCCUCAUCCAAAUAACAGCUGUAACGUGUAUGAAGAAAUGAAAGGAGGUCGUGUGGAGUGUCACAUAAGAAGAAAGAACCAGAAACAGCAGAGUUCAGCACAUGAAAAAGCUAAGAGCAGAUGCUACAGGCUGGCUGCAGUGUGUCUGGGGCUGCUGUGUGUUCUCCUGAUGACCGCCGUCACACUGCUGUGUGCGAAGCUUACUGCAGAGAGAAACCAGUUACAAAACACUUACACCAAACUUUCCUAUUUGGAAAAGGCAAUCCAGGAGGGUUGGAGGUAUUUCAACUCUAGUCUGUAUUUCAUCUCCACUGAGAAGAGGAGCUGGACUGAGAGCAGACAGGACUGCACACGGAGAGGAGCAGACCUGGUGAUCAUCAACAACAGAGAAGAACAGGAGUUUGUGGAUUCCUUGAGUAGCUGCAAAGAUGCUUCGGUUUUUAUUGGUCUGACUGACAGAGACUCAGAGGGGGUCUGGAAAUGGGUGGAUGGUUCAGCACUGACUACUGCAUACUGGAUGAGUGGUCAACCCAAUAAUGGUAGACGGAAAGGCCCACAGAACUGUGUUGUAACGAGGUCUGAAGCUGGGAAAAGAUGGAAUGAUAAACCAUGCCAAGAUGUCCUUUAUUGGAUCUGUGAGAAGAAACCCUUUUCCUGAUUUCCAGAAACCGAGAAUGAUCACAUGCAUUUGGAAAAUGUUUAUGAAAAGAACAAAAGACCGCCUGGAAUCUGAAGAGAAGAGCAACCCUCCAUAGCCGAGAGCACAGCAAUGAAUGCUUUUCCUGAGACAUUCAAUCUGCAGCAGAGUCUGAUGAUCCAGAUCUUCACAGCUAUCACUGAAUCCAUCCUCACAACAUCCAUAACCAUCUUAUUUAGUAACAAAUAUUCAUAUCAAUCUGUAAUAUUCUGUAUGUAAUAGUUUUUGUAGUAUGUAUCAGAUAUUCAUACUUCUCUUGAUCUCCUCCACUUUAUUGUUCAUUAUUCUUUAGUCUGUUUAUUGUAUUGUUAUAUUAAUUUUCCUUCAGCCAAAUAUUUACUAAAAGUCUGUUGACACAUUCAUUGUAUGUGUCAAUAUUCUGAUAUGUAGAAGAUUGUAAUCAGAAAUAGAUAAACAUAAAUGCAAAUCUUACUGGAUUAAAACUUUUGCAAUAGAACUAAGUAACCAGUGUUUUUAUCAACAGCUGUACACAACAGACCACUGCCCUCCUAUCACCCAUCAUAUCUACCCCCAUGACAGUCUAUUCAC